UACUUAGUAGGCGAACGGGUACGGAGUAACGCGUAAUCAACCUGCCCUUCACAGGGGGACGAACGAGUUGGAACGAACUGCUAAUACCGCAUACGAUCUAAUCUCGGAAUCGAGGGAUAGAUGAAAGGUGGCCUCUACAUGUAAGCUAUCACUGAAGAGGGGAGUUGCGUCUGAUUAGCUAGUUGGAGGGGUAACGGCCCACCCAAGGCGAUGACCAGUAGCCGGUCUGAGAGGAUGAACGGCCACAUUGGGACUGAGACACGGCCCAGACUCCUACGGGAGGCAGCAGUGGGGAAUCUUCCGCAAUGGACGAAAGUCUGACGGAGCAACGCCGCGUGAGUGAUGACGGCCUUCGGGUUGCAAAGCUCUGUUAAUCGGGACGAAAGGCCUUCUUGCGAAUAGUGAGAAGGAUUGACGGUACCGGAAUAGAAAGCCACGGCUAACUACGUG
rnacentral:rRNA from 1 species